AUGGCGGCACUGCUGCUGCAAGAGUUGGAAGCUUCUGCGAUAUCUGAGAUAGCUAAGCUACCAAAAACAAUUCAAAACAAACUCGAGAAGAUUUUUUCGGAUCAGCAGUAUGAAAUCGAUUAUUUGAAAGCACAACAUGAACAAUUUCGGGUUGACAGCGAACAACACUUCUUUGAAAAAGUUAAACAACUUGCUCAGUGUCAGGAAGAAUUUUUGUCUCAGACUCAAGAAUAUCUUAAACUGAAAGAGGAGUUCACUAAGCAAGAGGAGGAUCUUAAACGUGUGCUUCAGAAAAACAAAGAAUAUGAAUCCACACAAGAGAGGCUGUCAUCAGAGCAGACUCUGCUGUCAAAAGCCAAAGAGGAACUGGAGGCUGAAAAGCGAGAACUUGUGCGAACACUUGAAAGGAGAUCCUUGGAAGUGGAGCAUUUAAAUGAUGACUUCCGGCAACUCAAUGAUAAGUUGGUGGAGGUCAACACCUCUAAGAUGGCCCUGCAGAUGAAAUUGGAUGAGCUUGAAUCAGCUGAAGUCAACAUAAAAUACAAGGAGAAGCGCAUGGAACAAGAGAAGGAGCUGCUGAAUGGCCAAACAUCUUGGCUGAACGAGGAGUUGAAGGCUAAGAGUGAGGAACUACUGUCUUUGUCCCGACAGAAGGGAAACGAAAUCCUGGAACUGAGGUGCAACCUGGAGAACAAGGAAGAUGAGUUGAAUAGACUCCAAGACCAAGUGGCUAGUUUGAAGACUUCAAAUGAGCACCUUCAGAAACAGAAUGAGGACAUGAUCAGCAAACUAAAAGAAGCCAAGGAACAACAAGCCACCAUGGAGGAAAAGUUUAGAAACGAGCUGAAUGCCAACAUUAAGCUUUCCAAUCUAUACAAGGGAGCAGCAGCGGAUUCUGAGGCAAAAAGUGAAGAGCUGAGUGGGGCAGUGGAGGAGCUACAUAAGCUGCUGAAGGAUGCUGGAGAAGCAAAUAAGGCCCUAGAGGAGAAGUUGCAGGAGAUGAAUGGUGCCACAGACAAAAGUGUUACUGAGUUAAAGGAGAGGAUCCAGGGUCUGGAGAAAGAGCUGGACAAUGCCAAUGAGCUGCUGUCAAGUUCUAAACUUAGAGGGCCUACUGGUACAUCUGUGGUCACAGAAGAGCAAAUGACGACAAUGUCUCCAACAGCUGUUGCUGUAUCCAAGAUAAAGCCUGGGAUGAAGCUGACGGAGUUGUAUAGUGCAUACGUGGAGAGCCAGGAGCAGUUGCAGUUGGAGCGAUUGGAGAACAAGCGGGUCAACAAGUACUUGGAUGACAUUGUGCAGGAAGUGGAAGCAAAAGCCCCUAUCCUCAAACGGCAGAGGGACGAACAUGAGCGCUUGCAGAAGUCAGUGGCCAGUCUUUCUGCCAAGCUAGAGCAGGCUGUUAAGGAGGUACACCGUCUGCAAAAGGAGGCUGAUGAAGCUAACAAGCGCUCCUCUGUUCUGGAAAGGGAAAACCAGAGGUGUGAACUGCAGCUGGGGGACAUGGCUCAGCAGGUGCGCGUGCUGCUGAUAGAGCUAGAAGAAGCUCGUGGAAACCAUGUGGUUCACGAGGAGGAUGUGAGCUCAGCCGACGUCAGCAGCACAUCAGAGGUGAUCAGCCAACACUUAGUGACCUUCCGUGGUGUAGAGGAGCUGCAGAAGCAGAAUCAGCGUCUUCUGGUGGCCCUUAGGGACCUCAGUGAUGCCCAGGAGAAAGAGGAGUUUGAGGCCAUUGGCAACAAGCGUGGUGAACUGGAGCAGAGUUUGGAGAAAGCCAAGGUUGAGCUGGAGUCCCUGAAGGAGCAGCGCGGGCAACAGAUUAAGAUGACUGAGUCCAUCGUAAGGCAGAGGGACAUGUACCGCUUGCUGCUUGCUCAGGCAACCGGAGUCAGCUUCCCUCAUCAAGGUACACCACCUGAAGAGUUCUCCCUGGCCUCCACCCCCCGACGCUCACCUGCAGCCAUGGCCACCCCGGGAACGCCCACCACACUUGUUUCCAUGGCAACAGAGUCUGCUGAAGCCUUGGAGGCCAAGGCAGCUUUGCGACAGUUGCAGGAGGUGUUCUCCACCUAUAAGAAGGAGCAUAUGGAGAGUACCAAGGCCUUGACGGAGCAGAACGAGAAGCUCCAGGAUCAGAUCUCUGACCUUCAUUCCCAGAAUGCCAAGAUAUCCACCCAACUAGAGUUUGCCUCAAAAAGGUAUGAGAUGCUGCAGGACAACGUUGAGCGCUACAGGAAAGAGAUUGCUUCCCUUAGAGAAAAAGGACAGAAAAUGGCCGCUGACUCACAGAAGCAUGAGCAGACCAUCCACACUUUGAAUGAGGAUCUGAAAGCUGCCAAAGAGAAACUUACCAUGCUUGAGGGCCAUGCUGAGACCCUGCGUAAGGAGAGAGACAUGCUGAAGCUGGUGGAGUCAAGGCUGAAUCAGGAGAAAGAGUCAAUCAUGACCCAACAACAGAGCCAAAGCCUGCUGCUGACCAACCUCCAGACCAUUCAGGCCACUCUUGAGCGUUCAGAGACUGAUACACGUCAGCGUCUAAACAGCCAAUUGGAGAAGCAGGAACGAGAGAUCUCCCAGCUGCAGAAGAGGCUGGAGCACGAGGUGGAACAACGCCACCUGCUCAGCAGAAACCAGGAAAUCCAGUUGCUGGAGACAAAGAGGCAGCUUGAGCUACAGCUACCAUUACAACAGAAGACCAAGGAGCUGCUAAAUGCUGCCGAGUUGGAGCUUAACACACUCCGGCUGCAGCUAGGCAGCAAUGAAGCACGUCACACACUUAACUGCCCUACCACGCAGACUAUCAGAGGCCUGCCGGGUUCAGAUCAAGACAAAGAGGACCUACAGUGCCGCCUGCGGCUGGCUGAAACCCGGACAGAAGAGCUAGCAGAGAGCCUAAGGGCAGCCACCUCCAGCAUGGAGCAGUACAGAGCCAUGGCUCAGAGUCUGGAGGAGUCCCUGGAUAAAGAAAAACAGGUAACGGAGCAGGCGCGCUCAUCCAUUGAAGCUCGUAUAAAGGAGGCUGAGAAUCAGCACCGUAGGCUGGAGGAGAAGCUUCUGGAAGCAGAGAAAGACAAAAACAAUUUAGAGGAGGAGAAGAGGAGAGCUCUGGCCACUCUAGAGGAAGAGAUGAACAGUCUACGGAACAGUCUCAGCAGUGCCCAGGCAGAUCACCAGGCGGUGCUACAGCAGCUGGCAGUAGCUGAAGCCCAGCAGCAGCAAGCUCUACAAGACAGCCAGGAGCAAGCUAAGAUGGCAGCCGAAGCACAAGAUAAGUAUGAGCGGGAGAUGAUGCUUCAUGCAGCAGACGUGGAAGCUCUGCAGGCUGCUAAGGCUCAGGCCUUGCAGGCUAUUGAGCUCAGACACCAGCUGGAUGAGAGAGCCCAGAGGGUCAGCGCUGAGCUACUGGAGGCCAGAGUCUCCUGGGGGGAGCAGGAGAAGAUCAUCAAGGAGGAGAUGUCGAAGAUGGAGAGCCGCUAUGAGGAUUUGCAGAGGCAGAAUACCCUCCUGCAUGAGCAGAUUCAGACGAUGAGCUGCAAGAUGGCUGACAAGUUGCAACAUGCUGCCAGUGAGAGUCCUAUGAACAUCUCUCUAACUGAGGAGGGCAAAUCUCAAGACCAAAUCCUUGAAAUUCUCAGGUUUGUGCGACGGGAGAAGGAGAUUGCAGAGUCUCGUUUUGAGAUUGCCCAAGGGGAGAGUUUGCGUUAUCGCCUGAGGGUGGAGCACCUCGAACGCGAACUGAAGGAGAUGCAGGACAGCUUGAGUGCUGCAAAGGAAAGGAUGCAGGUGACAGCAAAGACCUUGUCUCAGCAUGAUGAGCUGAUGAAGAAGACGGAAACUAUGAGCAUCCUGAUGGAGACUAACAAGAUGCUGAGAGAGGAGAAGGACAAGAUGAUGCAAGAACUGCAGCAAACCCAAGCUAAGGUACAAAAGCUGGAGUCAGACAUCAUGCCACUGCAGCAGGCCAACACUGAGCUGAGUGAAAAGAGCGGCAUGCUGCAAGCGGAGAAGAAGUUAUUGGAAGAAGAGAUCAAGCGCUGGAAAGCUCGGACCCAGCAUUUGGUAACCCAGCAAAAAGAUUCCGAUCCGGAGAAGGAGGCCCAUGUCAAACGCAUUCUGCAGCUCACAGAGGACAGCACCAGACUUAAAGCAGAGAUUCUCAGGAGCAAUAAUCUAACGACCUCUCUGCAAAGCCAGAUACAGAACUUGCGUGACAAUGUUAGUAAGAUAACUGAUGAGGGGAAUAGUCUGAAGAAGGAAGUAGAGAACAAGAACCAAGAACUCCAGGAGAAGGGGCGAACUAUUACCCAGGUCAAGAAGAUUGGACGCCGCUACAAGACUCAGUAUGAUGAACUCAAGGUGGAACAUGACAAGUUGGUAGCCGAGGCUGCAGCAGGUCCAUCCCAAGAAGAGGAGGCUCGUCAAGCCUCGGUUCAAGAGCUGCAGAGCCUCAAAGAUUCUCUGCACGAGGCCGAAGCCAAGACUAGAGAGUUAGAAGGACAGCUGGAGAACAUCAACAAGGUUGUUACAGAGCGCGAGACUGAAGGGCGUAAUGCCCAGGAACAGUCCUCCAGGCUGCAGGCAGAGCUGACUAGGCUAAGGCAGGAGCUGCAAGAUAAAGCUUCUCAGGAGGACACGCUGAGACAGCAGAUGACUGAGAAGGAGGAGAAGACCAGGAAGGCCAUUGUUUAUGCUAAGCAGAAGAUCAACCAGCUCAUGAGCACCAAAGACCAGCUGCAGAAGGAAAAUGAGGAGCUAAAACAACAGCGUGAGGAGCUGGAGGUGCGUGUGAGCGCUCUCAAGUCUCAAUACGAGGGCCGCCUGAGUCGACAGGAGAGAGAACUGCGAGACCUGCGAGGCCAACAAGAGAGACAAGAGCAGAGAGACGAGCCACCUGAAGCAGGUCCCAGCAAGACCCAGGAACAGCAGAGGAGCACAGAACAGAGACAGAUCAGUCUGAAGACAACCCCAGCAGCAGACAGGGGCAGUGCCAGCACAUCUGAGCCGCCAACUGCCAACAUUAAACCAACACCUGUGGCUACAGGCAGCAAGCAACCUGUCAAUCCGGGGAACAAACCCACUCCAAGAGCAAGCAUCAGGCCAAUGAUUACCCCAGCUACUGUACCCACCCCAACACCCACAGCUACUGUCAUGCCCACCACACAGGUGGAGACCCAGGAAGCCAUGCAGUCUACUGAAGGCCCACCAGUGGAGCAUGUCACUGUGUACGGCAGUGCCAGCGGUUCGGUGCGCUCCGCCAGCCCCAAUGUCCAGACCACUUUAGCAAGCCCCAUGCUGACUGUGCAGCAGACCCAGACACAGGCAACAGCAUUUGUCCAACCCACUCAGCAACAGAGCAUGACCCAUGCAGAGCCAGCUAAUCAGGAGCCAUCACCUGUGGUCAUUGAGGCAACCCCUAGCUCGCAGGUGGAAUGGCCUUCAACCUCCUCCACUUCCUCUGUGUUUGGGACUGUUUCAGCAACGCCAGGUACCUCCUCCAUGUCCAAAAGGCCUCGAGAGGAAGAGGAAAGCGCCACCAUGGUCACUGACACAGAGUCCACCCAGGAGGAGAACUCCAGGGCUCCUAUACCUAAGAAGCUGCGCAUCAUCCAAAGAGUGGGUCCAGAGGAGGAGGUUCUGGUGGAGGACAGUGCUGAGGCUGAGGGGGUUGUACCAACAGACAGUCAAGAUGGUGCAGAAGCAAGCCAGACAGAGGAGUUUCCAGUACUGGAGGAAGGAGAUGAUGGUGCAGCCUCCCAGUCCGUCACAAUGGACCAAGAGGUUACCCUGACCCAAAGUGAAACACCUGAACAGCAGCAGCACGAAGUGAUUGUCAUAGUAACAGACACAGAGAGUGAGGAGGACCAGGAAGAGGAGGAUGAAGAGGAAGAAGAUCAGGACUACGAUGAGGAGGAGGAGGAGGAGGAAGAGGAAGAUGAGGAGGAGGAAGAUGAAGAGGAUGAGGAGGAAGACGACGGAGAGAUGGGGGAAGAAGGAGAGGACAGUAACGAGGGGAGCAGAGACGGCAACGAGGCUUACGAAGGAGACGACCCAGAGGGAGCUGAUGUAACCGACCCGGGCACAGAGACAGAGGAGAGUUUGGGGGCGUCUGACUCCACCCAGAGGCCAGCAGAUUCCCAGACACACAGCUUUGAGGGGAGUACAAUGGAGACAUACUCUACAGAACAACCUAUAACAAGCUCUGGUACACGGAUGCCCCAGUCACCGCGGAGACCAACACAUCAGCUGGCCCCUCGCCUGAACAUUGCCCCAACAUCAGAACUGGGACCACCUGCUCAGGUUCAGCGUAUGCCUGUUCGUCGUCAGUCAGUGGGCAGAGUCCCUCAGCUCACUUCUGGGGUGCCGGGCAGUUCUCAGCACUUCUUUGAUGAUGAUGACAGAAUGGUUCCCAGCACUCCCACUCUGGUGGUGCCACACCGCUCAGACGGUUUUGACCAGGCCAUUCAUUCUCCCCAAGUUGCCGGUGUGCCUCGCUUCAGGUUUGGUCCCUCAGACGACAUGCCACAGCCUUGUUCCUCCUCGCACUCUGACCUGGGACAGCUCGCGUCACAAGGAGGUCUCGGAAUGUAUGAAAGCCCCUUGUUCCUAGCAACUCAACAAGAGGAGUCUGGUGGACGCAACGUUCCCACCACACCGUCACAAGUUACAACACCAGUAACAAUCUUCUCAGAGGUGGCACAGUCUGACAUCGCUGAGCACUCCUCCCAGUCAGUUCCCACGGUGAGCACGUCCACACCAGGCCUGUCAGCAGCAGCCGCUACAGGGGAGGAUAGAGACGACGUCUUCCUGGAGCCAGACACUGAUGGGUCCAGUGGAGAAGUGUCAGUAGAUCCUUUGGUCUCGCAGGGAGAUAUAGAGGAGCCAGGCCAGCAAUCUGCCAAGGCCAGCCUUCCCUCCACCAGCCAGGAGCCCUCCUCUAGCUCUGCAGGUCACUUAGGUCCUAUGACCAGUCACUUCUGGUCGUCCCUUGGGCUUGGCAGAAGCUCGGGGGCGACUCAGUUUCAGGCCCUAAUCUGGGAACAAACUGCCCCAUCACAUCAGAUCUGCCCCCUCUACUGAGUCGUUCAAAGCACAGCUCAAGGCCCUCCUCUUUGCUUUGGCAUUUUAAUAUACAAGCAGUGCUCCACCUAGACCCUCUAGACUCGGACACAGCAGGCAGCUGCAGCGCUGGCCAGAACACCGCGGCGGCCGUAUGAAGAGAGGAGGUCAGGGAUUUCCUUCUCGAGGUGUGCAUGGGAGACGAUUUGCGAGAUGAAGCAUUUGUCUUGACAACGAUGACUUGUUAUUCCCAUCAGAAACACAUUUUCCAGUCAGCGUGUGCAGAUUCUGUGUUCAAUCUUGAUAAUGUUCACUUGUUCUGAAGCCUGUUGAUUUUAGUUUUUUUUUUUUUUAUAUAAAUACCUUUUUGUAAUGAGUCCAUGCUUAAGCGGUGUGUUUUACGAAGAAUGUAAUAAACUUUAAAACUA